rnacentral:misc_RNA from 1 species
GAUGAAGGAACGUAGCGAAAUGCGAUAAGUAAUGUGAAUUGCAGAAUUCAGUGAAUCAUCGAAUCUUUGAACGCACAUUGCGCCCGCCAGUAUUCUGGCGGGCAUGCCUGUUCGAGCGUCAUUUCAACCAUCAAGCCCCCGGCUUGUGUUGGGGACCUGCGGCUGCCGCAGGCCCUGAAAACCAGUGGCGGGCUCGCUAGUCACUCCGAGCGUAGUAGUUACAUCUCGCUCAGGGCGUGCUGCGGGUUCCGGCCGUUAAAAGCCUUAUUUACCCAAGGUUGACCUCGGAUCAGGUAGGAAGACCCGCUGAACUUAAGCAUAUCAAUAAGCGGAGGA